rnacentral:rRNA from 1 species
UACGAACCGUACAAACGUUAUUCGGAAUCACUGGGCUUAAAGGGUGCGUAGGCGGCCAUGUAAGUGAGGUGUGAAAUCCCUCGGCUCAACCGAGGAACUGCGCUUCAUACUGCAUGGCUUGAGGGAGACAGGGGUAAGCGGAACUGAUGGUGGAGCGGUGAAAUGCGUUGAUAUCAUCAGGAGCACCGGUGGCGAAAGCGGCUUACUGGGUCUCUUCUGACGCUGAGGUACGAAAGCUAGGGUAGCGAACGGG